GGUCACUUCUACAGAAAGCACUUAUAAGACUCUGGCAAGUGAAGAUGAAUGGAAAUGAAGGAGGGCAUUUUCAACAGAGCCUGGUGCCCGCCGGCUUCCAAGGCUCUGCUGCCAUCUGCUGGCCGCGGCGAGGCACGGGCGUGCCCGGCCACACACUUGCUUCUGCUGUCUCUCAUUAAGAGAACAGUUCUCAUUUUAGGUCGCAGCUUACCUUCGGCAUCCACAGACCUGUCAAUUAGCCCUCUCCCUGUAUUCUGAUUCAUUUCCAGCAGCAGACGUGCCAAAGACUGGCAGGAACUCAGGGAAAUAUAUCCUGAGCACAGGUGGUAUGUUGAAUAUGCCUUGGUGCUUUAUUUGAACUAACCAACUGAUACAUUUAAACAAUAUAGGCAUGAGACGGAGGGGGAAACUAGGAGACAGAACUGGCGAUAAAUUUGAGAGACUCACUGCUACCUCUAGGUCGAGAUGAGAUUUCUGUCGUGCAUUAAGCUAACUUGGAUUGUGAAUGAAUACAAGUCCAGGAAGUUGAUUCUGAGACCCGAUACCCUGCGAGGGGAGUGCAGGAUAAGCAGGAGAAAUUAAUUAGCGCUGCCUAAAGCAGUUUUACCGACGCAGGCGGGACUGUGGUGGAGCCCUGGAGAUGCGGCGAGCCCUGAGCUGCCUUCACAGCCUUGUUGGGUGUGCUGCUGGAUCACACUGCAUGAGAAAUGGAAGCAACCUAUCUGUAAAGAGCCUGCAAACCUCAGGACGCUCUGGAAGCCAGUGGAAUAAUUACAGUGGGAUGAGGCUGCAAGUCCCCUUGCUUCCUGAGCUGCAUUCACGGCUGUGUGAAGGGGAGAAAGGAAUACAUUUGAGGUCUUUUCAUGGAAGACACAGAUAUUUUAAUGUUGCGAUACCAUCCAACAGGGUGAGCUGAGAGAACCAACACUAAGAGUUUCACAGAUAGAACACCACUAUUCCCUGUGUAAAACAGGAGGUAGGCGUAGGCCUCCCCUGGAAAAUAAUGUUUUAAGAGCUCAUAAAUACCUAGAGGUCAAAUCA